rnacentral:misc_RNA from 1 species
UGUUAUUGUUGAAGGAUUUUUGUGGUUAUGGUGAUUUAAGAAGACGAAAGCGUCCUUUCCGUCGCUGUUGCUUCGGAGUACCAGUUCUCGAAACCUCCUUAGCUUUGAAAAUCUUGCUCUUUUUGCAGACCUCCGGCGAAGUCUCGACGGCUUUCCUUUCCCAAGCGCAGGACGGUCCCGCUGGUUCAUCUGCUUCCGAGGACGAAACCGACGAAACUUGAUCAUGCUCCU